AUGCUGAGAAGGAAAGAAGGCAGGGCAAAGCUAAGGACUACAGUGCAUUAUGUUUACAAGUUUGAAGACAAGAAUAUGGCUGGAAGCUCUCCCUGUGGUUACAGGCAUCACUUGGGCGCCCCCUGGAGGCUGCACGUGGCCAAGCUCAACCGGCCCCACUCUGCAGGCCAAUGCUGGGCUUUCCCCGGGUGCUUAAGAGGAAUUGGGAACCAGACCAGGGAUAACCUAGAUCUGCAAUAUAUAUCCUUGCAUAUCGGAGAGACCAAGAAAAACCAAGAUAUAAAGUCUCGUGAUUACUUGCAAAGCGAAUGGGUGAGUUUUCAGCAUGCUAACAGUCGGGGCUCAGGGAAGAAGGUGGGAGAAUGUGGGGCUGCCUGCUCAUUUCCCUUUCCCUCCGAAAGCACAGAUGGAAGAACAAAACUGGUUUUGUGUGUGCUGGGCAGAGGGCACAUUCAGAUUCCAUUGUUUAAGGAUUUAUUCCUAUGAUGGGGUUUUAAGCCCAUAAGGACACCGAUGAGCUAGAUUUUACAGGUAUCACAAGGGUAAAUAUUAAAUUGCAGCAUUGACUCAGACACGGACAAUAAACUCAUGCCAGCCUAUUCAAAUAACUACUGUAUUUCAUUGAUUUUAUGAUGCUUUUUUUUUUUUUACAUUUUACUAUCUCUAGAAAUCAGUACGCAUCUUCCAAUCUAUGACAUCAUUGAUUCCAUGAAAGAUAGUAUUUAUUUAUUUAUUUAUUAUUUUUUUAAAAAGAUUUUAUUUAUUUAUUCAACAGAGAUAGAGACAGCCAGCGAGAGAGGGAACACAAGCAGGGGGAGUGGGAGAGAAAGAAGCAGGCUCAUAGUGGAAGAGCCUGAUGUGGGGCUCGAUCCCAUAACGCCGGAAUCACGCCCUGAGCCGAAGGCAGACGCUUAACCGCUGCACCACCCAGGCGCCCCGAAAGAUAGUAUUUAUGAAGCAUUUAUUAUUGAACAAAAAACUACAUUAGUUGUGGAAUAUACAUGGCCCUUGUCCUCAAAU
rnacentral:lncRNA from 1 species